rnacentral:lncRNA from 1 species
AAAAUUAGUGAUACAAACUCAUCACUUAGAAAAUAAUAUGAAAUUUCCAAAACAAAACCAGCAUUAAAGGAUUAAAGUUGCGGAGAAACCAACAUUGCUAAGUAUGAAAACACAAAGUACAAUAGCUUUUGUAAGUUUAGUUAUCAUGUGAGCCUAUGACAGAUUCCAAACCUCAAACUUAAGGUACUAUCUGUCCAAUACUUGAGAGAAAAACAACUUUAGAACUCACAAUAGAAGUACCUUUGGCAUCAUCAUAUUAAAGGAAAAAUAAUUUACAUGAACUGAAAAAUGGAAAAAGGAUUGUUGCACGUAUUCUUCCUAGUACACAAAAGAACAGCUGUUUUUGCAGACAUUAGAAUUAUAAUUUAUAAGUACAAUACAUUCUUGUAAAAGUAACUUCAAAACAAAUCAAUGAUCGAGACAAGAUAGAAACAUUGAACACCUACCUAUUUGAGAAACGGAUCCCCUGUACCGAAAAUUUUCUACAAUGGAAUCUCAGUCGGUUAUUUAUUUCUACUUCACACGGUCAAAAUCAUCAAGAUGAAAUUGAAUGUUGAACGGUGGAAAUUUCCACCAGACUCCGAUCAUUGAAAAUCAUAAUUUGCCUAUUUGCUGAAAGUUAAUCAGUCCAUCUAAAGCAUAUUAUUAUACCAGAAACCUACUUGGUUAAGGUAAAGUACAAUAUCUGUUGUUUUGUAACUACAGCUUAAAUGGAAAACACUACACAGACAUUUGAUAUGCUAGGGUGCAGGUUCAAAACUGCAACCUCCACUUCUCAACACUUACUGUGUGUGAGUUUCGCCACUGACUCUUUGAAUACAGAUAAAAAAGAACAAUCUUUGUCUUUUCAUUUAAACAAACACUGAAUACAGCAGAAUUGCCCAACAUAGGACAUAAGGAUAAUUGACCCACAGUAUGAUACCAUCUCAAAACAAUCUUAAUGUGUGAGUUGAUACUAAAACUGAAUCAAAACAAACUAAAACACUUAAUAAUAAUUAGCCACACUUUUCUGUCUUGAAACAUUUCAAAUCAAACAGUAACAGUUAACCAUCCCAAGUUGUUGGGUCAAUUGAGCAAACAAGAUACCUUAUCUUCGGGAUAAUAUGAAUAGGUUCUGAUGUAUGUAAAAUCACAUGUUGAUACAAAGAAAGUGAGUAAAAACAGUCUGCAGCAAACAUAAGUGUUAUACUCACAGAAAUUUAAAGCUUAGAGGCAUAAGUUUAAAAAAAUAUGAAAUAGACACAAAUAAGUGUUAUACUACACUGUUAUGCCAAAUUUUCGCAUGCAGUUUUGGUUUUAAACCAAACUUUGC